UUUUUUUUAAUAACAAUAGAAGACAAAUAAAAAUUGCAAGCAAACAAUAUGCAACUAGAUUUUAAAAAAUACUAAUCCCAACUUAAAUUAAUUUUGUAUGUCAAUCAUACAAACAAGUUAUCAAACAAAUUAUAUACAAUAUGCACAAUUAUUAUUUUUCGGAUUGGCACUUGUUAGAUUUUAAUCACAAUCAAAUCGGACUACGCCUUAGAUUGUUAGAACAAAUACCGCAACGAAAAUCUGAUUGUGAUUUAAAUCUAACUAAAUUUUAUUAUGAAAAUAAAUAAAUACAACUUACAGAUAAUUGCUAAAUCCAAAUAGAAAAUUUGAUCCGGAAGCGUGCGAGGCACUGCCCUAAGGCGUAUUUCCGUCCUUACGUGCAGGAUUAACCGGAAAUAACACCCUAAGGUACGACCAGAAUUUCUCCUCCUACGAGCACGAUCGUGAAGGAAGUUGACGAAGACUCUUUCAACACCCGAUGACUAAAAGGAUUAAGAAAUUGAAUAGAAUAGAGUUUAAAAAUACUUUUUUCUUUUCUUUU
rnacentral:lncRNA from 1 species